rnacentral:rRNA from 1 species
CGCACGGGCGAGUAACACGUAUCCAACCUGCCGUCUACUCUUGGACAGCCUUCUGAAAGGAAGAUUAAUACAAGAUGGCAUCAUGAGUCCGCAUGUUCACAUGAUUAAAGGUAUUCCGGUAGACGAUGGGGAUGCGUUCCAUUAGAUAGUAGGCGGGGUAACGGCCCACCUAGUCUUCGAUGGAUAGGGGUUCUGAGAGGAAGGUCCCCCACAUUGGAACUGAGACACGGUCCAA